rnacentral:rRNA from 1 species
CCGGAAAGGGAGCCUUAGAAACGGCUACCACGUCCAAGGAAGGCAGCAGGCGCGAAACUUAUCCACUGUUGAGUAUGAGAUAGUGACUAAAAAUAUAAAGACUCAUCCUUUUGGAUGAGUUAUUUCAAUGAGUUGAAUACAAAUGAUUCUUCGAGUAGCAAGGAGAGGGCAAGUCUGGUGCCAGCAGCCGCGGUAAUUCCAGCUCUCCUAGUGUAUCUCGUUAUUGCUGCGGUUAAAAAGCUCGUAGUUGGAUCUAGGUUACGUGCUGCAGUUCGCAAUUUGCGUCAACUGUAGUCGUGACUUCUAAUUUGCUGGUUUGAGGUUGGGUUCGCCCUUCAACUGCCAGCAGGUUUACCUUGAAUAAAUCAGAGUGCUCAAAACAAGUGUUUGCUUGAAUAGCUCAUCAUGGAAUAAUGAAACAGGACUUCGGUUCUUUUUGUUGGUUCUAGAACUGAUUUAAUGGUUAAGAGGGACAAACCGGGGGCAUUCGUAUCAUUACGCGAGAGGUGAAAUUCGUGGACCGUAGUGAGACGCCCAACAGCGAAAGCAUUUGCCAAGAAUGUCUUCAUUAAUCAAGAACGAAAGUCAGAGGUUCGAAGGCGAUUAGAUACCGCCCUAGUUCUGACCGUAAACGAUGCCAUCUCGCGAUUCGGAGGGUUUUUGCCCUGCCGAGGAGCUAUCCGGAAACGAAAGUCUUUCGGUUCCGGGGGUAGUAUGGUUGCAAAGCUGAAACUUAAAGAAAUUGACGGAAGGGCACCACAAGGCGUGGAGCUUGCGGCUUAAUUUGACUCAACACGGGAAAACUCACCCGGUCCGGACACCAUUAGGACUGACAGAUUGAAAGCUCUUUCUCGAUUUGGUGGUUGGUGGUGCAUGGCCGUUCUUAGUUGGUGGAGUGAUUUGUCUGGUUUAUUCCGAUAACGAGCGAGACUCUAGCCUGCUAAAUAGUUGGCGAAUCUUCGGGUUCGUAUAACUUCUUAGAGGGAUAAGCGGUGUUUAGCCGCACGAGAUUGAGCGAUAACAGGUCUGUGAUGCCCUUAGAUGUCCGGGGCUGCACGCGUGCUACACUGGUGGACUCAGCGGGUUUUUCCUAUGCCGAAAGGUAUCGGUAAACCGUUGAAAUUCUUCCAUGUCCGGGAUAGGGUAUUGUAAUUAUUGCCCUUAAACGAGGAAUGCCUAGUAAGUGUGAGUCAUCAGCUCACGUUGAUUACGUCCCUGCCCUUUGUACACACCGCCCGUCGCUAUCCGGGACUGAACUGAUUCGAGAAGAGUGGGGACUGUCGCUUCGAGGUUUAACGACUUCGUUGUUGCGGAAACCAUUUUUAUCGCAUUGGUUUGAACCGGGUAAAAGUCGUAACAAGGUAGCUGUAGGUGAACCUGCAGCUG